AUUAACAAUCAUACUCAAGGUACAACUAAACACAUUGCUAUAUAAACUUCAAUGAAGUACAUAAACUGUUAAUUUUUUUGUUCAGUGUAUGGUUCUCAAAAUUACAGUGCAUCAACAUUGAUAAUAUCUGCUUCUUUUUUUCGUUUAAUUAUUUUGGCUAAUAAUGGUGGCUAUACAGAUGUCAGCUAAUUUAGGUAUCAUUUGGAUGCUUUUCAAUUGCUUUGAUUUUCAAAAAUAUUACAUCCCAAUUGGAUUUGUGUGAGAAACAAGUUAAAGAAUGCGCUAUGUUGCAUAUGAACAUCCUCCAUGUCACCACAAUCAUGGAAACACAAUUGGAGAGCACCUUGUCCAUCUUUGUCAAGUUUUCUUCCUUUCCCAAGGGGUGACCAAAAGUAGCAAUUUCCAGAGAAGAGAGAGUGAUAGAGAGAAACUUAUGAUUUGUGCUCACCAAGAGGAAUAGAUAUCAGGUUUUUCAACUUUCACAGUAAAAGAGAGUGAAAGAAGACGUUGCCUUCAGACUCAUGAGGUGCAUGGAAAAGAAAGAACGUAAUAUAAAGAAGGAGCAAUCAAGAAUAGGUAACUUUCAAUAGACGAGAACGAGAAAGAUAUCCAUAGAAGAAGCAUAAAAUUAAAUACAUUUAGCAGCAAAAUUAAAUCCUAAAAAUAAUCUUAAAGGCUAGAAUAAUCUAUAAUUAAUGUUG